UACGAAGGGGGCUAGCGUUGCUCGGAAUCACUGGGCGUAAAGCGCACGUAGGCGGAUCGUUAAGUCAGGGGUGAAAUCCUGGAGCUCAACUCCAGAACUGCCUUUGAUACUGGCGACCUUGAGUUCGGGAGAGGUGAGUGGAACUGCGAGUGUAGAGGUGAAAUUCGUAGAUAUUCGCAAGAACACCAGUGGCGAAGGCGGCUCACUGGCCCGGAACUGACGCUGAGACGCGAAAGCGUGGGGAGCAAACAGG
rnacentral:rRNA from 1 species